AAUAAAGGGGGAAAAAAAAGUUCCAGUUCCAAGACUCUGUGUCCCUCAUGGAUCCCACAGUUCCCUGCUGUCAGUGUUUCAUCUGUUUGUCAGAGUCGACAUGGCCCCCCAGGAGCCUGACAGGGGGAGACAGGCUGCUGUACCAUCGUUGGGACAGAAGCGUGUCUCCACCUUCCUGCGUCCAAUCUGCAGCUCGUGGGGAUCAGACAGGUGGG